rnacentral:rRNA from 1 species
CACGUAGGGGGCAAGCGUUGUUCGGAUUUAUUGGGCGUAAAGAGCUCGUAGGCGGUUCGGUAAGUCGGGUGUGAAAACUCUGGGCUCAACUCAGAGACGCCACCUGAUACUGCCGUGACUUGAGUCUGGUAGGGGAGUGUGGAAUUCCCGGUGUAGCGGUGAAAUGCGCAGAGAUCGGCAGGAACACCCAAGGGGAAGCCAGCUGGCUGGGCAUUUGCUGACGCUCAUGUGCGACAGCGUGGGGAGCGAACUGG